rnacentral:rRNA from 1 species
AUGCAGUCGAGCGGAUGAGAGAGCUUGCUCUCUGAUUCAGCGGCGGACGGGUGAGUAAUGCCUAGGAAUCUGCCUGGUAGUGGGGGACAACGUUUCGAAAGGAACGCUAAUACCGCAUACGUCCUACGGGAGAAAGCAGGGGACCUUCGGGCCUUGCGCUAUCAGAUGAGCCUAGGUCGGAUUAGCUAGUUGGUGAGGUAAUGGCUCACCAAGGCGACGAUCCGUAACUGGUCUGAGAGGAUGAUCAGUCACACUGGAACUGAGACACGGUCCAGACUCCUACGGGAGGCAGCAGUGGGGAAUAUUGGACAAUGGGCGAAAGCCUGAUCCAGCCAUGCCGCGUGUGUGAAGAAGGUCUUCGGAUUGUAAAGCACUUUAAGUUGGGAGGAAGGGUUGUAGAUUAAUACUCUGCAAUUUUGACGUUACCGACAGAAUAAGCACCGGCUAACUCUGUGCCAGCAGCCGCGGUAAUACAGAGGGUGCAAGCGUUAAUCGGAAUUACUGGGCGUAAAGCGCGCGUAGGUGGUUCGUUAAGUUGGAUGUGAAAGCCCCGGGCUCAACCUGGGAACUGCAUUCAAAACUGACGAGCUAGAGUAUGGUAGAGGGUGGUGGAAUUUCCUGUGUAGCGGUGAAAUGCGUAGAUAUAGGAAGGAACACCAGUGGCGAAGCGACCACCUGGACUGAUACUGACACUGAGUGCGAAAGCGUGG